CUCAUUCUUCUCAUCUGAAAUUUUUCAGCUCUUCUUUCUGUUGGCUGAGGAAGGGAUUUAUCUAGGGCUACUGCAAAGGCAAGGGGAAGCAGUGGGAAGAAUCGAGCUGCUAACGACACAGAACAUGGACUCCUGAUUGAAUACCAAGGCAGUAAAUCAAUUGAGGAUCUUUGCUACUGUUCAUGAAAUGCUCCAGCUGUGCUCCGGAGGAUUAUAGUGUCAACAGAACUCUUGAUUUGAAUCACAGCCUUGCCUUCACUCAGGGGCUGUAUAUUAGUCUUGAAAAGCAGACAGUGUUUCAUCGCUCAAAGAAAAGAGAAUUGCUGAGCUGAAAAUAAAACGAUGAUGUAGGGGAGGAACACUGUGACAUGACUAAAGAAGAUGGAUAGCAGAUUUCAGCAAAAUUCUCUAGAAAAUCACACUUUUUUUCCAUUUUACAAGACUUUAGUAUUUUCUGCUGGUUCCUGGUGUAGAGGACAUUGUGAUGCUUGAUUUGAUGACUUCUGUGCAGAUCCCAUCACCACUUUCAGUUAUUUUGCAAGGGUAAGAAAAUUUGGAAACGUGGUUCACCAUUGCCUGUACUUUUUUUUAAGCCAAGAUCUAUUCUGUUUGCAACAUAUUAUGUUGUUUAAUAUACAUUAUUUUAGCAUCUUUUUACAUGUGUUUUGGGAAGGCAGAUAUAAAAGAACUUUGACUUUCUUAUUCAGACACAAUUUCUUUCUAUUGUUGGAUUAUUACAAAAAAGGUACAAAGGUGGAAGUAAAAAGGAAUAUAGUUUUUGAUAUAAAGAUGCCUUUAGAUUUUGAUCUUUAGGAAUGUAGGCAGUGCUAUACCUAUGCUUACUAGGCAUUGUAAGCUCAUCAUAUCAAUCAAUUUUAAAACUCUCUUUCACAAAACUCUUCCCUUAGCUAUGGAAGAUUCCACUAACUGGUUUUAAAAGAUCUUACAGUUACUCAGUAAAUAGCCCACAAGAAGACCUCCAUGAUAAUGUCUUCAUACGGGAUUUAUACCUGUUUCCAUUUAAUGUCUUAUUUCUCUUACAG
ensembl:lncRNA